AGCCUGGUGGUGUAGUGGUAACACACCUGCUUUGUAUUAGCCACCAGUUGUGAAAGACUUUAGCAGAGGAUCCUUGUUUGACUUGAGGUCAGGCUA